UUUUCAUUUUAAAGUGAACUAAUCCUUUAAGUAACUUUGCAAACAUGUCAACUAACUUUAAGAGUAUUAGUAGACUGUUAGGUUAGGCUUAGUAGAAUAAGUUGACAUGUACUUGCAAAGUUACUUAGUUACUCUAUAGUAAAUUGAAUGUCUGUCUAUAGAUAAAUAAACAGACAGACAGAAACUACUACAAUAGUGUUGAUGUUAAUAUGGACACCUGUUUCCACUGAGUUCAUUAGCUUUUGCAGCAAGUUGUUGAGAUGAUCCUGUAGGGGGCGCUCUUCCACAUUCAAUAUGUUGUUGCACAGCACCAGCCUUCAUUUUUUUUUUUAGCUCAUAGCAAUGUGCAAUAAACUCCCAAUGCUUGUAUACGACAAGCCACUCACCAUGAGUUUCCCUAGUACAAUGUUAUACAACAUCCUUGUCAACCAGGUUUAGGGUUUGGCCUAUAGGGCUGGUUUGAGGCUUGAACAACAAUCAUUUCUCUUUUUGGGAAGUGUGUGGUUAAGGUUAUAACAAGAAUAUUGUCAAAGAAAUGUAGUCUAACCAUUACUUGGCAAGUUGCGUGACUUUUUGUUGUUCUUUGUUAAGGAACGAUCCAACGGCAUGAGACUCGUCCAGAUGCUCCAGGUAAUCGUGAUAGGAAUGUGAAUGGAGAAAGAGAGGGGAGGCAGAGUCAGACUCAGAAUUAAAGAUAAAUGUCAGCUGUCUCUUUGAUUGAUAAGCCUCACCAACAACAUUCCUCCUAAAAAAGAGAAAGGAAGAAUUUGACACAUAACAGAAUGACCUUGUGUGCUGCAUGCCAGAAUGGGCCUGACACACUUUUCUAGUCACCUCAGUGAUGUUUACUCUGCCAUAAAACCUUAAGAUGGCCACCUCUCUUCACAUUUCUCUUCAACGGCUUUCCAAAUACUUUUUGAGCUGUUUUUGCAUAUGGUGUGCUGAUCUAAAGCAGACAAGAUCGUUUUCACCAGGGUUUUCAGGUAUACUCCCCGCCUCUCAUCUGGGCAUGCUCAUACCAACUCUGGGCAGGCAAAUAAAGCAAAUCCCUGGCACAGCCCAAAUGGUCUUUAAAUCAUAUCUGUGGUUGGCUUUGGGUUCUUUCGGCGCUCUUUUGUGCUUUUGUCUAACCUGUACACUCCUCCUUUUCCUGCCUUUUUCAUUGUGUCAACUCAAAUAUGAUAUGAAGUGAACUCUCCACACCCACCAUUGGUUUAUUAGACCAUUGUUUGAUGUUCUUACUCAUUCUAUCUAUUUCUCUCCUGGUCUGUUUAUCUCUUUUUCUCUCUAGGUCAAUAAUAUGGAGAAGCCCCACCCAGCUGAAGAGAUACUGUAGCUCUCCCCAAACAUAGCUGAGGAGUCAUGUGGUAUCCAGAUCCCACGAAGACAAUUUAAAACAUUAGUGCAACUUAUUAUUCACUGGGAGUGUUUUUCUUUGGCAUGGUGGGUAUUUAUUUUGGGUAGCACAAAAAUGUUUUAAGCACUAUGGAUUAGGAUGAGAUCACUCUCUUUUGUACAUUUUCAAGUUUUGGGACAUUUGGUUUAGCAUUUCACAUCAGUUAUAAAAUACAAUACAGUAGAACAAUAAAGAAGUAUGUCAAAUAAUACAUUAAUAUGCAAAACACCCAAUUUUAGGACAGAUGAUUUGUAAUCACUGUACAAUGUACAAAACACAUCUGGAUUCUUAUGCCACAGAUAAAAUAUAUAAAAAGUAAUUGCACUAUAAAAUGAAAAUCGCAAUUAGUUCCUGUCCUCAAAUUUGAUUGGCCCCAGACAGACAGACCUACUGUUGGAUUGAUACAUAGAUAUUUGUACAGAUAGAUAAAUAGAUAGCGGCAUUGGGACCUUAGUUUCUGAAAUCGCUAUCUACUCCUUCAUUGACUAUUCCUUGUGGAUAUCGACUGUGUCCGAAAUCACCCCCUUUACCAUUUUACAGUGCACUACUUGAGGGAACAGCCAUUUGUAGUGGUGUCCAAAAUAGUCGAUAUCAUCAAGUACACUUAUUCAAUCAUAUAAUAGAUGCAGCCAUACAUGAGAAAGGCAUGAACAAAAAUUAAUGAGUGUCCUUGAGACAACAUUCAAACGAAUGGAACUGAAGCGCACAAUCCUCAAAUCACAUUUGAUUGGAUUACUUUGGAUUACUGCACAAUUUACUGGAUUACGUUACUUCGAAAAAGUAAUAGACCUUAUGUAGCCCCGCCUCUUUCAGCUCUGCGCUCGUUGUCUUCUGGUUCGUAUUUCCACAGUAUGAAGGUAAGAACUUAUGGAUUUAUGAAUGAACUGCUCGUUUUAAAAUCUUCCCGGUCAAUUGACAUUUGUUUUGACAUCCGCUUCAGAUAUUACAAUGCUUAUGAUAACUUUCGUUAACUUUACAAUAUGUAAAUUCACUUCACUAGCUAAUUAGCCUACUCCUUGACAGCGAUGCCAUAAAAAUAAACAGAGCUACUGCAAAAACGGAAGUUCAAAUAAAAUUCUAAAGAUGCCCGCAAAAGGUUUAUGAAGUUUCAGUGUUAAGCUUAAACUACACCUUUUUACAUUUUCAAAACAAUUCAUAGUUUGUGUAAUACGAUAAAUCGUCUGAGCAGUUUUGCCUCGUUGAUUAGGCAUUCGGAUAAAUAGGUAACCUUUCAUGAGUCAUUGAUUCAUUCACUCAAACGAACCGAGUCAUUUAAUUGAUUCGAUUUUUUUCUUUAGCGGAGGAUAAAUAAACAAAGUAACUGGCGAUAUUGUGUUUACAAUGUAAGUUGCUCAAUUGUAUCUAUAUCUUUAUAUUAACCAUUGAAACUGCUCAGAAUUUAGUUCUUGAGUAAAUGUCUUAAUGUGUUUGCUUUUGUUUAAGUUAUCUAUGCAUUUUUUUUAAAGCCUGGUGUUAGUGUAAAUACUUUUACCACUGUAUUUAGAAUAGUUUUGGUAGUCGCUCUCAAAUUGAUUGCUUUUUGUCUGUGUGACCUUUUAAGGUGUUCUGUUCAAACAAAUCUUUAAACUAUUUCAGUUAAGAUAGAUUGAUGAAAGCUGAAGUACAGAAGUGGAGUUCAUGUUGCUUAUGGCAAGAAUGCAGAGAAUCUGCAGAACAAUGAAAAAUGAUAAUGAUUAUUCCAGUACAUUCUUGGUGUAUUGUGUUACUGCCGGAGCUGAUGUUUACUCAAAAGUGUUUGACACAGAUUUCACGGCCUCGUUAACUAUAGGCUCUCAAAGUUUAGUUUGCAUAGCCUAGCAACUGCCUCAGUUUCCUGCCUUUGUACGCUGUCUCAUUUCCCCUUCUUCACCCUGGAAAAACGUACAAGCAGAGGCAAACACAAUCCAUCAGAGCUUAGUCAUUUAAACGCCUCAGAAACACACCGUAGUUUGGCCAAGAGAAGCGAAUAAUCUGGGAAAGCUCUGAACAGCUUAAUUCGUAAAAUUCGCUCUCAGUGACAUAAGUGCCACAAAAAUGUAGAUAAACCAUUGCUCUCUUGUUGGAUUCUUUUCACACAACUCCAUUGUUUUCUAUUGUAACAUAUUUACACUGGCAAGUUAUGGUUUUUUCAUUCAUAAAUGACAUGUAUAUAUAAUAUUGGAUCAACCAAUGGCAUGAGUUUGGGGUGUUAACUAUCUGUUUGAUUGACCAAUAGAGAUGAAGUAUAAACACAAACAUACUAUUUAUUUUAAUAAGGGAAUCACACAUGAAACAUAUAGAUAGUAAUUCUUUUCUGUCAAUAUGAUUUAUUUUUAUCAUAUACUGUACUUUACAAUAAUGAUGAUGCAUGUUGACUGAAGCACUUAACCUUUACAUAAAUAAGUAUGAAACCCCACACUUAAUAUGCUUUAGAGAGAUAAGACAUCUUAAAAGCUGUACUCUGGAUUUAGCAAGCUAUUGGAGAAAAAUUUUAAGAGCUAAUAAACGUCCCCAGCAGGAAUGUGUAACUACCUUGUAUGGGCAUGAAAAUCAAGUGUGCCUUUUUUCUGUCAUCUUUCUGCAGCAAAGAGGUUUACUUGACUUUAAUGUGGUUUAAAUAAGGGGGAUUACUAAAGGUGGUGAGGUGGGAAGGUCAAACAGAGGUAAAAAAAAAAAAAAAAAAAACAUAUCUUUUCUCAUUCUAUGACUUUUUUAAAUGUGUACAGAAGGGAGAGGAUUCCUCUUCCUGAAUGAUGCUGAUGCCACUGAGUAUCACCACUCUGUGAAGAAGAAGUGCUGAGGUGAGAAUGUGAGGGGUCAAAGUCUGGCUCUUGUAACGUUUCUGAUCUUCUUUUUUACAUCUCCAUCAGUUUUUUCCACCCAUCCAUCUUUUAGAUGAAAGAGAAAAGUGGAUGUUUGACAUCAAAAGAUAGAGGACAAGCCUCUCCAUUCCUGCACUGCACAUUCCACUGCAUUUGAGGAGAAUCCUCCAUCGUGUGGAAGGAGUUUCCCAACCUCACCUCUCUCCCAGACACCACGGAUGGAUGCCUUCCAUUAGCACAGCAUUAAAGAAGAUUAAUGACACCUCUUACGUCUGCUACGCCUCAUUGAAACACCCCUCAACCAUCUUCCCAUCUGGUGUUCUCUACCUGAUAAAUGCAUUGUGUGAGAAGCAAAGACGAGCUGCAUCAAUAGUCGGAAGCUCUCGGCCGAAGCCACAUGGUAAAAGUAGACAACUCUCAGAGGAGCUGUUUUCACAUCUCCUGUCCAAAAAGAGUUGCAGUCAUUUCCUCAAGCUACUGCAAGCUGGAGGACAAGGCAAGGGUGUGUCUUGGGCCUUUGGGGGAAAAUUUAUGCGCUCUGUCCCAUUUGUAUGGGCUUCCACUGACAGGAGGAGUUCCCCGCUCCAGAAGAAGAGUUCUCCCACACAGCCAACCCACGUGGCGAGCAGGGAUGUCCUCGGAUAAUUUUAGUCAGCUGACGUCGUUCUGUGUUCCUACCUUACAUCUGUUCCUCCUUUUGUUCCUGAUGUCUGCUAUUAACUGUGUUGCUUUUUGUCUCUGAAAUUUAAUGUCAAACACAUGUGCUUCUGCAAGGAACAAAGCCGUUUGAGAGGAACUUGUGUUAGAAACCAGACCUCAAGUCUCUAUCUUCUUAAAGCCCAAUGUAAUGUUUUGGGCCGAAUUGACUCAAAAUAUCUUCUUAUGUGUUCCAUAGAAAGUCAAGGUUUGGAACGACAUGAGGGUGAACUAUGAACUCUCCCUUUAACAAUAUUAUUUCCCCACUAAUUUUACCUUGGAUACCAGAUCUUUUCCUGAAAUCUAGGUAGAUUGAUUUCUGCAUAUGGCGCAUCAGGAAAAAAUCUCACAGAGAGCUCACAUUCAUCACAACUCGAACACAUCCUGCCUGGAGCCCGUUGCAGGAAAGAGUGGGUCACCACAGCAUUAUGUAAUGGGCUCUUUGCUGUCAUGGCAACGCUGUGGGAACUGGAACUGUGUAUUCGUGUGGCUGGAGGCUGCGGCGUGUGUUGACAGAAUGUUCCUCACGUUGGGUUCCUGGAUGGGCCUGACUAUAAACACUCAGUCAGGGAGUUCCCUCUCUGACACAGUUCUGGGUUUGGAAUUCUGUGCAGGUUUUUAUUACUACGUUUUUGGUCACAUCCACUCAUUUUUAUUUUUCCACAGGAUCUAGAAGAAGUUUUAUACUGUACUCUGACUGGAAAAGGGACAUUUUCUGAAAGGAUCUGCAAGCCAGAUCAAUUCACCAAGUUUCACCAAAUUCACCAAAAUUUGCAACGUUAAACAUUUGUGAAUCCUCACCGCUGUUGUCAGGGUCUCAACGUUUCGGUUAAAAGAGCCAAUUGCCUUUUGACAGUGUUUACUUGCACACACACACACAAAAAGAAGCAAGAUGUAAAUGAUAAUGUUGCAGAGUUUAUUGCUGGUUUCAAAGUUACUGAAGCAUCAUUUUAAAGGGUUAGUUCACCCAAAAAUGAAAAUUCUGUCAUUAAUUACUCACCCUCAUGUCGUUCCACACCUGUAAGUCCUUCGUUCAUCUUCAGAACACAAAUUAAGAUCUUUUUGAUGAAAUCAGAGAGCUUUCUGUCCGUCCUUAGACAGCUACGCAACUGACACUUUGACUGAAUAAACCUCAUUGGUUUUUGCGGAAGCUCAAACGUGCUGCGCAACAUGAGAAUGAACCUCAGUGGUUCUUGUGGAAGUUCAAGCGUGCUGCGAAACACAUGAGAAUGAAGCUUAUUGGUUCUUGUGGAAGCUCAAAUGUGCUGCGUAACAUGAGAAUAUAAAGUUCAGUCAUGAAACUCUAUUAAUCGCUGAUUGGUUCUUUCAGUACUACGACACCAACCAAUAAGAGGUACUUCCUCAUUUACGUGGCUUUAUUUAUACCGUAUCCUAGCUGCGAUCAGCACGCCGCACAAUAUGAGAACUCCUAUAGUCCCACCUCCUCCACAGCGCCACCUGUAGAGAUCUGCUACGGGGGGUUCUAUCAUUCUGCAGCAGCCUUUCCUUUGUUGUUAUUUUGACUAAGCUGAACAAUUAUGUAUUUGCUCAGCAGCAGCAGCAGCAGCGUAGCAGAUCUUGUCCGCCAAAAUCAAGCCUAUGUACAUUCCAUGCUCCAUGCUAAUAAAAUGCUGGUUGAAUCUA